rnacentral:misc_RNA from 1 species
UUGAUUUGAAUUAUUUUUGUGGGGAUUAUAUUUGUUAAAGUGUCAUCUAAUUUAAUUAUAACUAUCAACAACGGAUCUCUUGGCUCUCACAUCGAUGAAGAACGCAGCGAACCGCGAUAUUUUUUGUGACUUGCAGAUGUGAAUCAUCAAUCUUUGAACGCACAUUGCGCGGUAUGGUAUUCCGUACCGCACGGGUGGAAGAGCGUGUUUCCUUUGGGAUCGCAUUGCUUUCUUGAAAUGUAUUUAAUACUUCAUUAUUCAAUCAUUUCACCUCUUUCAUCCGAGAU